rnacentral:rRNA from 1 species
GACGUAGGGCGCGAGCGUUGUCCGGAUUUAUUGGGCGUAAAGAGCUCGUAGGCGGUUUGUCGCGUCGUUCGUGAAAACUCACAGCUUAACUGUGAGCUUGCGGUCGAUACGGGCAGGCUAGAGUUCGGUAGGGGAGACUGGAAUUCCUGGUGUAGCGGUGAAAUGCGCAGAUAAUGGGAGGAACGACCAAGUGGCCGGAAGG